AGGACGAACGCUGGCGGCGUGCUUAACACAUGCAAGUCGAGCGGAAAGGCCACUUCGGUGGUACUCGAGCGGCGAACGGGUGAGUAACACGUGAGUAAUCUGCCCUCCACUUUGGGAUAGUCCACCGGGAAACGGUGAUUAAUACCGGAUAUGACCUGAUACCGCGAUGGGUGUUGGGUGGAAAGUUUUUCGGUGGGGGAUGUGCUCGCGGCCUAUCAGCUUGAUGGUGGGUAAUGGCCUACAGUGGCUUCGACGGGUAGCCGGCCUGAGAGGGUGACCGGCCACACGUGGGACCGAGACACGGCCCAGACUCCACGGGAGCAGCGAGUGGGAAUAUGGACAAUGGGCGAAGCGUAGAUCCAGCAACGGCCGCGUGAGGGAUGACCGGCCGUUCGGGUAGUAAACCGUCGUUUGGGUGGGGAGAAGCGAAGGUGACGUACCC
rnacentral:rRNA from 1 species